rnacentral:rRNA from 1 species
UACGGGAGGCAGCAGUGGGGAAUAUUGCACAAUGGGCGAAAGCCUGAUGCAGCUAUGCCGCGUGUAUGAAGAAGGCCUUAGGGUUGUAAAGUACUUUCAUCGGGGAGGAAAAACAAAACUAAUAAUUUUAUUUCUUGACGUUACCCGAAAAAGAAGCACCGGCUAACUCCGUGCCAGCAGCCGCGGUAAUACGGAGGGUGCUAGCGUUAAUCAGAAUUACUGGGCGUAAAGAGCACGUAGGUGGUUUUUUUAAGUCAGAUGUGAAAUCCCUGGGCUUAAACCUGGAACUGCAUUUUGAAACUGAAAUACUAGAGUAUCGUAGAGGGAGGUAGAAUUCUAGGUGUAGCGGUGAAAUGCGUAGAUAUCUGGAGGAAUACCUGUGGCGAAAGCGGCCUCCUAAACGAAUACUGACACUGAGGUGCGGAAAGCGUGGGGAGGCAAACAGGGAUUAGAUACC